GACGAACGCUGGCGGCGUGCCUAAUACAUGCAAGUCGAACGAGAGCGACCGGUGCUUGCACUGGUCAAUCUAGUGGCGAACGGGUGAGUAACACGUGGGUAACCUGCCCAUCAGAGGGGGAUAACAUUCGGAAACGGAUGCUAAAACCGCAUAGGUCUUCGAACCGCAUGGUUUGAAGAGGAAAAGAGGCGCAAGCUUCUGCUGAUGGAUGGACCCGCGGUGCAUUAGCUAGUUGGUGAGGUAACGGCUCACCAAGGCCGUGAUGCAUAGCCGACCUGAGAGGGUGAUCGGCCACAUUGGGACUGAGACACGGCCCAAACUCCCACGGGAGGCAGCAGUAGGGAAUCUUCCGCAAUGGACGCAAGUCUGACGGAGCAACGCCGCGUGAGUGAAGAAGGUUUUCGGAUCGUAAAACUCUGUUGUUAGAGAAGAAUAAGUGCUAGAGUAACUGUUAGCGCCUUGACGGUAUCUAACCAGAAAGCCACGGCUAACUACGUG
rnacentral:rRNA from 1 species